UACGGAGGGUGCAAACGUUGCUCGGAAUUAUUGGGCGUAAAGCGCGCGUAGGCGGUCCGGCAAGUCGGGUGUGAAAGCCCUCGGCUUAACCGAGGAAGUGCAUUCGAAACUACCGGACUCGAGUACUGAAGAGGAUGACGGAAUUCCCGGUGUAGAGGUGAAAUUCGUAGAUAUCGGGAGGAACACCAGUGGCGAAGGCGGUCAUCUGGGCAGAUACUGACGCUGAGGCGCGAAAGCGUGGGGAGCAAAC
rnacentral:rRNA from 1 species